rnacentral:rRNA from 1 species
CCUACGGGAGGCAGCAGUGGGGAAUAUUGGACAAUGGGGGGAACCCUGAUCCAGCGACGCCGCGUGAGUGAAGAAGUAUUUCGGUAUGUAAAGCUCUAUCAGCAGGGAAGAAAAUGACGGUACCUGACUAAGAAGCCCCGGCUAACGACGGUCCAGCAGCCGCAGUAAUACGGAGGGGGCAAGCGUUAUCCGGAUUUACUGGGUGUAAAGGGAGCGUAGACGGUGCAGCAAGUCUGAUGUGAAAAGUGGGGGCCAAAACCCGGGACUGCAUUGGAAACUGGUGAACUUGAGUUCAGGAGAGGUAAGCGGAAUGCGUAGUGUAGCGGUGAAAUGCGUAGAUAUCAGGAGGAACACCGAUUGCGAAGGCAGCUUACUGGACUGUAACUGACGUUGAGGCUCGAAAGCGUGGGGAGCAAACAGGAUUAGAUACCCCUGUAGUC